AAAUGCAAGGAAUUUGGUCUAACGUAGAUGGUUGGCAUUGGGCAAGUUGGCCGAAGGGCCUGUUUC